UGUUUUCCCCUCCCUGUUGCUGAGUCCCAAUCCGCACCAACCCUAGCCGCCAUGCACAACUCCUUUGGCCAUCCGCACCAACCCUAAGCCGCCAUGGACAUCUCCUUUGGCCACAUCUCGGUCUACGGAGUUGUGAUGGGUGUCAAUUUGUCUUGCUCCUCAAUCUUAGCAGAUGAUGAAUUUGCCUGUCGUGAUUGGGAGCAAGGCAUGUCGGGUGGGGGAGCCAGGCCGAGGUUGCAACCAAGCACCUCACUUCAUCAGAACAACAGAGUCAACAGGGAGCAGAUCAACUCUGAAACUACUGAAAAGUUCCAAGUUUUCAGUUCCAAAUUUUAGCAUUGGAAGCCUCAAGGCUCACAUCGUACUAGAGAUCAUGCCGGUAGGCAAGUAGAGUGAAUGAAGGCAGAUGUUUUUAGCAAAAAGACUGAUUGAUACAUCAUCUAUUCCAUCUGGAUUAUGCCUAGGGCACUCUGGCCCCACAUUCUCCAUAGCAAAUAGGUGAGGAAGCCUGAGUGAGAUCCCAUCCUCGUCGCCCUAGUGAAGAAACCUUUGCAGGAAACCUGGUAUUCCCUCUCGCCUAUCUGCUACACCGACCCAUGUGCAAGGAAGAAGGUAAAAUUUCAUAUAAUCAAGUGUAGCAGCAGCAAGAUAAUGGCCGAUUUUGAUUUAUCAAAUACAGUAUGAAACAAGCCAGUUUCUUCUACCAACUAGAGGAGAAAUAAAUUUUUUGUCGCAGAGUUCUAAUACUCAUCUUGAUUCGGAAAACAAGCUUAUUGGACAGAAAUGUAGAAGGUAUAUGUGUGAUAGUAUUUUGCAGUUCAUCCUUAUAUAACUGAGAGCCGUGCCAUAAUGACCACCUAGCUUCAUAAUUAGCGGGGGAAAUAUAAAAAGCUGAACAUCCACUGUCACAUUUUAUUCAUUCGGUAACAGAUGCAGAUGGACUUCAAAUGCAGUGUAUAGUUCAUCUCCUACUCGGAGUGCCAAACCCAACUAAAGAACAACUAUCUGAACUUGGUUGGCAUAACGAAUGCCAACAUGCAGAAAUAACACAAAACAAUAUAUUACGACACAAAUGUAUAAAAUAGCCAAUUGGUAUACCAGUCAUAGCACUAGAGGCUUAACUAUUUUUGCUCACAUCAAUAGGACACAAUUCAUUUGUUUUAGCCUUAUCAUUCUUCCUUGGUAUGGAGUUGCACAAGCAUGCUAGGAAUGUUUUUCUUCCUAAAAUUAUGGUAUUUUGCACGUACACACCAAAAUUAUGAUAUUUUGGACAAUACAUACCAGUAACAGUGCAACACUUCAUAUGCAUGCACUUGUUGGACAGACAAAUGCCAAACUGUCAUGAGAUGAGUAUAUAUAAAUGCUAUGUGCAAUACAUGUUAUAGGGACAGACAAUCACAAAUGUAAUAAUUAGACUCAAUACAUGUUGAUGGAAGAUAUUUGUAGUAGUUGUGUUCACUACCAUUGCAUUCUUAUUAUCUCAUCUAAUCCCUUUUUUGGCACCACUUCUUACUAGUGUAAAUUGGGGUGGAUCUAGGCCCUAGACUGGCGAGGCUACAUCUUGCGACUUGCAGAAAAGAUUGAUUGAUACACUAUCAAUUGCAUCUAGAUUUGCCCAGGGCACUCUGGCCCACAGCCGACACUUUCACCACGAGCAAAGAGGAAGCACGAGCAAGAUCCAUCCUCAUUGCCCUAGUGAAGAAACCUUGGGAGGAAACACUCAUACGAUGGAGCGAGGCCAUGUCAAGUGAAGGAGCUGGGCGGAGGUUGCAACGGGAACAACUUUGGUGACAUAAUAACUAGAUGAUUUGGGGCUGAGGAGAUGGUACGACAAUAGAUGAGGCUGAUGAGAUGAAUAGAUUGAUUGUGCAUUACCGAUUGGCACUCUGGCCCAAAGCUGACGUGUUCUCUACGAGCAAAGAGCUGAGAAAUCCCAAGCGGGAUGCCAUCCUCGUUGCCUAGUGAAGAAACCCUGGGAGGAAACACUGUGACGCACCUGCAUUCCCUCUUGCCUAUCUGCUAGCCCAACCCAUGUGCAAGGUACGAUCAGAAAUGGCAUUGAACACGGGGGCUGAGGGCUGAGGAGGUUACAUCUUGUGACCUGCAGAAAAGAUUGAUUGUACAUUACCCAUUGCAUCUGGAUAUGCUCAGGGCACCCUGGCCCACAGCCGAUGCAUUCUCCACGUGCAAAGAGCCGAGGAAGCAUGUCUUCAUUGCCUUGGGAGGAACCCCCUGCCGUUCCCCUGCCUAUGUGCAAACUGUGAUGAUUCUAUACUAUCAUUUUGGAUGAACUUCAAUGUGCAAAAAUAGAUGAUAUAAGCAGAGUAUUGUAGCAGCAAGAUAGCAGCUGUUUUCGAUUUGUCAAAGCUGGAACAAGCCAGUUUCCCAUUUGUACAUGCAGAGUUCCAGAGACAAGUUGUAUGACAAACGUAGCAGAAACAAGACACGUUUGUAUGACGACAAAGAAUUUGAUGAAUAGCUGAUUUUGAUCUA